rnacentral:rRNA from 1 species
UGCUUAACACAUGCAAGUCGAAUGUCGCGCUUGCGCGGCAUGGCAAACGAGCGAGUAACGCGUAUCUAACCUGCCCUUUAGUAGGGAAUAAUCAUGGAGACAUGGAUAAUACCCUAUAUGCCCACUUACUGAAAUGUUUUUGGGUGAAAGAUUUAUCGCUAAAGGAGGGGGAUGCGUCCUAUCAGGUAGUUGGUGGGGUAAUAGCCUACCAAGCCUAUGACGGGUAGCCGGUCUGAGAAGAUGAACGGGCGCGAUUGGACUGAGACACGGCCCAUACUCCUACGGGAGGCAGCAGUGGGGAAUCUUGCACAAUGGGCGAAAGCCUGAUGCAGCAAUUCCGCGUGAAGGAUGACGCCUUGCGGGGUGUAAACUUCUUUUCUGGAGGAAGACGAAUGACGGUACUUCAGGAAUAAGGGACGGCUAACUACGUGCCAGCAGCCGCGGUAAUACGUAGGUCCCAAGUGUUAUCCGGAGUUACUGGGCGUAAAGCGUCUGUAGCCUGAUUGGUAAGUCUAUUUUUAAAGACUCCGACUCAAUCGGAGAAAGGGGAUAGAUACUGCCUGUCUAGAGUGUUUUGGGAGUUAGUGGAAUCUCCGGUGUAGCGGUGAAAUGCGUUGAUCUCGGAAGGAACGCCAAAAGCGAAGGCAGCUAACUAUGACAUUACUGACGGUCAGGGACGAAAGCUUGGGUAGCAAACGGGAUUAGAUACCCCGGUAGUCCAAGCUGUCAAUGAUGCUUGCUAGAUGUCUGAUC